rnacentral:rRNA from 1 species
ACUCCUACGGGAGGCAGCAGUGGGGAAUAUUGGGCAAUGGAGGAAACUCUGACCCAGCGACGCCGCGUGAGGGAUGAAGGCCUUCGGGUUGUAAACCUCUUUCAGUAGGGAAGAAGCGAAAGUGACGGUACCUACAGAAGAAGCACCGGCUAACU